UUCGCCCUUAGAGUUUGCUCCUGGCUCAGGACGAACGCUGGCGGCGCGCCUAACACAUGCAAGUCGAACGGAGCUUAGAGAGCUUGCUUUCUAAGCUUAGUGGCGAACGGGUGAGUAACGCGUGAGUAACCUGCCCUAGAGUGGGGGACAACAGUUGGAAACGACUGCUAAUACCGCAUAAGCCCACGGUACCGCAUGAUACUGAGGGAAAAGGAUUUAUUCGCUUUAGGAUGGACUCGCGUCCAAUUAGCUAGUUGGUGAGGUAACGGCCCACCAAGGCGACGAUUGGUAGCCGGACUGAGAGGUUGAACGGCCACAUUGGGACUGAGACACGGCCCAGACUCCUACGGGAGGCAGCAGUGGGGGAUAUUGCACAAUGGGGGAAACCCUGAUGCAGCGACGCCGCGUGGAGGAAGAAGGUUUUCGGAUUGUAAACUCCUGUCGUUAGGGACGAUAAUGACGGUACCUAACAAGAAAGCACCGGCUAACUACGUACCAGCAGCCGCGGUAAAACGUAGGGUGCAAGCGUUGUCCGGAAUUACUGGGUGUAAAGGGAGCGCAGGCGGGAAGACAAGUUGGAAGUGAAAACCAUGGGCUCAACCCAUGAAUUGCUUUCAAAACUGUUUUUCUUGAGUAGUGCAGAGGUAGAUGGAAUUCCCGGUGUAGCGGUGGAAUGAGUAGAUAUCGGGAGGAACACCAGUGGCGAAGGCGACUUUCUGGACCGUAACUGACGUUGAGGCACGAAAGUGUGGGGAGCAAACAGGAUUAGAUACCCUGGUAGUCCACACCGUAAACGAUGGAUACUAGGUGUAGGGAACGAUAUGUUUUCUGUGCCGAAAGCAAACGCAAUAAGUAUCCCACCUGGGGAGUACGGCCGCAAGGUUGAAACUCAAAGGAAUUGACGGGGGCCCGCACAAGCAGUGGAGUAUGUGGUUUAAUUCGAAGCAACGCGAAGAACCUUACCAGGGCUUGACAUAUACAGGAAUAUAUAAGAAAUUAUAUAGCUCUUCGGAGUCUGUAUACAGGUGGUGCAUGGUUGUCGUCAGCUCGUGUCGUGAGAUGUUAGGUUAAGUCCUGCAACGAGCGCAACCCCUAUUUUCAGUUGCCAGCACGUCAAGGUGGGAACUCUGGAAAGACUGCCGGUAAUAAAUCGGAGGAAGGUGGGGAUGACGUCAAAUCAUCAUGCCCUUUAUGUCCUGGGCAACACACGUACUACAAUGGCUGUAACAGAGAGAAGCAACACAGAGAUGUGAAGCAAAACUUAAAAAAGCAGUCUCAGUUCGGAUUGAAGGCUGAAAUUCGCCUUCAUGAAGUCGGAAUUGCUAGUAAUGGCAGGUCAGAAUACUGCCGUGAAUACGUUCCCGGGCCUUGUAAUCACCGCCCGUCA
rnacentral:rRNA from 1 species